AUCUACAGUCAUGCUACCCUGAACAAGCCCAAUCCCGAGUGAUCUCGGAAGCUAAGCAGGGUCGGGCCUGGUUAGUACUUGGAUGGGAGACCACCUAGGAAGACCAGGUGCUAUAGGUA
rnacentral:rRNA from 1 species